GAUAAUUCAGCAAGACGCUUCUGAAUGGUGCACAUGUGGAAAUUGUGCAACAAUGCCGUCAGAGCCUGAGAACUUAUGCUGCCAGGAGGUACCACAGGUUACAAGACGGCUGCAGCAGCUGGAUGAAAGGCCUCCAUGUAUGAUAGGCAAACAGGUUCUAAACCUGGACGGUCUAAAUGUGUUCUCACUGCAGA